UAAUGAUGAAACCCAAACUUAAAGCUGGAAUUACCGUCAGAUGGUUCAGUGGUGAUAUAGGUUUCCUGAAC
rnacentral:snoRNA from 1 species